CCACCAACCUCGCGCUGGCUCCAAUAGAGCGGGCUGCCUUUGUAUCCUUGUACCCUCAUUCAGAGCUGGUUAUAAAACCUCAGAAGGUCAAAGACUGUGUCUGUUUACCAUGCUUGGUGUUGUAUUAAACACAGCACCAUACACAGAGGAAUGCCAGGCACAACCAAAAGAAAAUGUUGGAAAGAGAGCAACGGGAUUAGGAGAGCCUCAACUUCCCUGUGAGCUCAUUUUCUUCUGUCUACAUGUAAGGAGCUUGGAGGAGGGAAAAUGAAUGCCCAGUGGCUUUUAAUUUCAUUUCCUUCAUUAAAAUGUAAUAUUU
rnacentral:lncRNA from 1 species